AUGUUGCAACUGGAAGUGAAAAGGUUCAAGGCGACAAUGUUAGUGACGUUGUCGUUGCUCGGAAGGAGGUCAGACGUUCUAACAGGGUUAAGGGAAACUUGGUGGGUGAUGCCGGAAAGCAUCUGCUUCGUCCUACCACAACAAAGACAGGGGUAAAGGUGGCAUACCCUGUGAAGAAAGCAAAAAAAUAAUUCGAUAUGGUUGUAUGUUAAUUAAAUAAUUUUAGCAGGUUGACGAGAACUCCAAAACAAUAGAUGUGGUGGAUCGGUUAGCAUUACAGGCCAUUGACACAAACAUUAUUAGUCCAGAAAGACGUGAGACUAAAGCACCCAAGCAGAG